GAUGAACGCUGGCGGCGUGCCUAACACACGCAAGUCGAACGAAACCCUUUAGUUUACUCUUCCGCUGGUAGUUUGAGGACUGAGAGGCGGACGGGUGAGUAGGACGAGGCUCACCUGAGGUGUCUAAGGCCGUAACAUCUGCACACGGCUGCUAUUACUCCAUAUUCGGACGGGCCGACAUUUCCUUGUGUGAAAAGAUGUGUUGAUACAGGAUGGGCCAGCGUCGGAUUAGCUGGUUGGCAGGGUAACGGCCAACCAAGGCGACGAUCAAUAGCCGGUCUGAGAGGAUGAUCAGCCACACUGGGACUGAGACACGGCCCAGACUCCUACGGGAGGCAGCAGUGGGGAAUAUUGCACAAUGGGGGAAAGCCUGAUGCAGCAAUGCCGCGUGAGUGAUGAAGGACUUAGGGUUGUAAAGCUCUUUUACCCGGGAUGAUAAUGACAGUACCGGAAGAAUAAGCUCCGGCUAACUCCGUG
rnacentral:rRNA from 1 species